AUUGAGCUCCUGUGGCUCACUGUGGAAGGACCAUGCCUUGCCUUCCUCCUGAAAGCAGAUCUAUAGGAAAAUCCAUUCGCAAUCAGGAAGUUUCUGGGCAAAUACUCUGGCCUCUGAGCUACAUCUUCCACUGUAAGGCUGCCCUCACACAGAGGGCAUGAAUCUCCAUGCAAGCAACCGCAGUGUGCCACCGUGGCCAGUAGAGGGCAUGAGGAGACCACGAGCCGGGCCUUUUACUGUGAGAAAAUCGUGAGAAGGAGGAAAAGGGGAAAUCAUUUGGGCCAAUUAUCUCUGGCCGCUGUGGAAAAUCGGAGACUAUAGCGGCCACAGCCAGAAACAAUAUUUUUCUCCUGGGGCAGAUUCUCUGCUAGAGUCAGUCAUCAACUCCUGCAAACAUGGCCUGAGUAACCAAGCGCUUUAUAGUCAGCCAA